rnacentral:rRNA from 1 species
AUGGCGAGGAAAUGCUCGAGCUGCGGCCACAAUGGCCACAACUCGAGGACCUGCAGCGGGCACCGAGGCAUGGAGAGCGGCGGCGGCGGGCUGAGGCUGUUUGGGGUGCAGCUGCAGGUGGGCGCUGCGCCUCUCAAGAAGAGCUUUAGCAUGGAGUGCCUGUCGUCGUCGGCGUCGGCGUACAACGCGGCGGCCGCGGCGGUGGGUGUUGCCGCGUCCAACUCGUCGUCGUCCGUGUCGUCGUCGUCGUCGCUGGUCUCGGUGGAGGAGAGCCCGGAGAAGAUGGGCCAGGGGUACCUCUCCGACGGACUCAUGGGAAGGGCUCAAGAGAGGAAGAAAGGGGUUCCAUGGACCGAGGACGAGCACCGGAGGUUCCUGGGCGGCCUGGAGAAGCUGGGGAAAGGCGACUGGCGAGGCAUCUCCCGGCACUUCGUCACCACACGCACGCCGACGCAGGUCGCCAGCCACGCUCAGAAGUACUUCCUCCGGCAGGCCGGCCUCGCGCAGAAGAAGCGGCGGUCCAGCCUCUUCGACGUGGUCGAGAAAAAUGGCGACAGGGGAACCACCGAGCGUCGUCACAGGCUGAAACCCGAUGCUACCAGCUCCGUGGACGCGAUGGGAUUAACAUUCCCUGCUCUUUCCCUGGGCGCCAGCCGGCCGAGACCGGACGCGGCGCUACCGCCGUGCCUGACACUGAUGCCGAGCUGCUCGCCGCCGUCGUCGUCCGCGAGCCGUGCACCGAAGCUCCCUCCUUCCCUGGGCCUGGUGGCAAAUGCGAAUCCUCCCCGGCAGGCGCCUGACCUGGAGCUCAAGAUCUCGUCGACAGCCGCCCGGAAGACCGACAAGCAGGCCGGUGCGGCCGCCGGCUCGUCGCCUUUUUUCGGAACCAUCAGGGUCACCUAG